CCAAUAGCGUAUAUUAAAGUUGUUGCAGUUAAAAAGCUCGUAGUUGAAUUUCGGGGUCAGCAGGUUGGUCGUGCCACUUGUAUGUACUGGCCUUGCUGAUUCCUCCUUCUUGUAGAACCGUAAUGCCAUUAAUUUGGUGUUGCGGGGAAACAGGACUGUUACUUUGAAAAAAUUAGAGUGUUUAAAGCAGGCUAACGCUUGAAUACAUUAGCAUGGAAUAAUGAAAUAGGACGAGCGAUCCUAUUUUGUUGGUUUCUAGGAUUGACGUAAUGAUUAAUAGGGAUAGUUGGGGGCAUUAGUAUUCAAUUGUCAGAGGUGAAAUUCUUGGAUUUAUUGAAGACUAACUACUGCGAAAGCAUUUGCCAAGGAUGUUUUCAUUAAUCAAGAACGAAAGUUAGGGGAUCGAAGACGAUCAGAUACCGUCGUAGUCUUAACCAUAAACUAUGCCGACUAGGGAUCGGAUGAUGUUAAUUUUAUAAUGACUCAUUCGGCGCCUUACG
rnacentral:rRNA from 1 species